rnacentral:lncRNA from 1 species
AUGGCAAGACCUGGCCUCUUUCCAAACAUUCUUCCUACUUUUUUUGAUAGAGUCAUCAUUUCAUUGUUACGGCGAUGCAUGGUCCAGUUCUCAACAUUGCCUUUUCCACAGGGUGACACAGGGAUAGGAUCAGCAUGGAUACAACUCAGAUCCCAGACCAAUACAGGCCAGAUUUUCUGUCAUGUUCCUCCUUGUGAUACAGUUUGCUGUGGACACCAGACCACAGGUCCUUGUCAAGUUACAGCAGAGACACAAAAUCCUUGUCACAGAAUCACAGGAUCAUCUACGUUGAGACCUUCAAGAUCUUCAAGUCCAACUAUCGACCUACAGAGUUCCAUCACUAACCACAUCCCUAAGUGCCACAUCCACACAUCUCUUAAGUACUGCAGGGAUGGGGACUCCACCCCCUAUCUCCCUGGGCAGCCUGUUCCACUGCUUGACCAUCUUCCUCACAAAUAAACUCUGCCCAAUGCUGGACAUAAACCUUCGCUGACACAACUGGAUGGAGGAGGAGGGCAGGCAGCUUGCAGCUUUGCUGCCCAUUUGCUUGAUGGUUGUUAAAGUGCAUAUCUGGAAAUAUAUUCCAGUUGGAGCGGAUUUACUGGGGGACUCGUGAGAGAAUGGCUGUUUUGCAGGCAGCGUGUAAGGGUGAAUUACUGUAUAAAAUGCAUGGGAACUGUGGAAUGAAAUAUCCAAAUGUAUGAGAGCCUCUGUUUAUCCUUACAAGCACACUCAAGAUUAUUCCUUCAUGAGAGGCUGCAAGAAAGAGCCCAGAACAAAAGGAGAAAAAAAACAGAAUCAUAAUUCUUGUUGAUUAGCCAGCAAUGCAAUAUGUAAGGAAAAAAAAUGCAGAGAAUUUAGGAAGGCCAGCAGCACAUGGCAGUCAUUUAUGCUUAGCACCAGCCUGCACCUAUUCCUAUAUGUAGAAGAAUAGCAAAUAAUUAACAUAGAACUGGUUAGUUAUUACUUGGGCCUGAAGCCAAACCAUGUUAUAGCUGAGGGUUUAUCUGCACCAGCGCCGCUCUCCACCUGUGUUGGUGCCAGCUCCAGCUGCAGGAACAACUGCAGAAGCUCCAGUGGACCAGGCCUGGGCAUUUUACUGCCGGGUGGCCUCAUCUCAUUGUGCACUCACAUGUGUGCAGCACUGUGGAUGGAUGAGCGCUUUACAGCCUCUCCUUAGAAAUGGCUUUAAUAUGCACACCAACAGUCUGCAUAUAAAAAUCAUUUCCAUCGAGUGAUUUCGGUUUAUGGGGAAGACAGAUUACAAGGCUUGUUAUUAUGCUACUGUGAUGGGCUGUAAAAAGGAAACAUUUUUCCUGGCAUGUUGUAAAUAUCUCGUCAUGACGUUGCAAUCAGAAGAUAGGAAACUGUUGCAGCUACGCAUGAGAAAGUCAGCACCUCAGCUACAAAAUCUCUCCUCUUCGGUCUUCCUAAUGAUGAGCUGCAAAAAGGAAAAGUCAUUUAUGCCCAAAUAUUUUAGUUUAAAAAAAAAAAGCUUGUUGUUUACUUCAGGCAUUCGUACUUUGUUUAUAGUCUGUUCUUUACUGUGAAGCACGUGAAAAUGGAGCCAGCCCCUGCCUGGCAAGGCUCCUUGCUCACUAAGCUGCUCCAUAGCUAUGCUCUCAGAAGGACCCAAAAUCAGGUUUGAGUGACUGAAUACAUGCCACUGUCUCAGAGGACUCAGGGAUAGGGACAUUUGGGAACAUAAACCUAAAUUUUGAAAAGUAAGCAAGGAGUUAAACAAUAAGCCAUAUCAGGUAGCCUGUUUAUUACCAUAUGGCUAUUUCCACUCCUGUUCCCCAUAAAGUUGUGCCAGCACUUUCAUUUUAAACACUGUUUUUCAUUAGUUUAUAUAACACAGCUGUAAAUGUUUCUUUAGGCUGAAACUUGGCAUCCAAAAUCACAAGGGAGAAACUAGGAAGAAAGAAACCACCCCUGGCUAAACUGCUUCUGGAUGAUAUGAAAGUGAAGUUGCUGGGAGCUUUUCAGGGAACAGGUAUGUUCAACUCAAUAAAAGCUUUGGAUUAAGAAGUGAAGGAGAUACA